rnacentral:rRNA from 1 species
AGAGUGAACGCUGGCGGCAGGCCUAACACACGCAAGUCGAACGGCAGCACAGUAAGAGCUUGCUCUUAUGGGUGGCGGGUGGCGGACGGGUGAGGAAUACAUCGGAAUCUGCCUAUUUGUGGGGGAUAACGUAGGGAAACUUACGCUAAUACCGCAUACGACCUACGGGUGAAAGCGGAGGACCUUCGGGCUUCGCGCAGAUAGAUGAGCCGAUGUCGGAUUAGCUAGGUUGGUGGGGUAAAGCCCACCAAGGCGACGAUCCGUAGCUGGUCUGAGAGGAUGAUCAGCCACACUGGAACUGAGACACGGUCCCAGACU